UACGGAGGGGGCGAGCGUUAUUCGGAAUUAUUGGGCGUAAAGGGCGCGUAUGCGGCUUGUUAAGUCAAAGGUGAAAUCCCUCGGCUCAACUGAGGAAUUGCCUUUGAAACUAGCGAGCUUGAGGCCGGGAGGGGGUAGCGGAAUUCCCAGUGUAGCGGUGAAAUGCGUAGAUAUCUGGAGGAACACCGGUGGCGAAGGCGGCAUCCUGGACCGGUACUGACGCUGAGGAGCGAAAGCGUGGGGAGCAAACAGG
rnacentral:rRNA from 1 species